GACGAACGCUGGCGGCGUGCUUAACACAUGCAAGUCGAGCGGUAAGGCCCUUUCGGGGGUACGACGAGCGGCGAACGGGUGGAGUAACACGUGGGUGACCUGCCCUCCAGCUCUGGGAGUAAGACCUGGGAAACCGGGUACGUAAUACCGGAUAUGACUCCAUGACGCAUGUUGUGGGGUGGAAAGCCUUGUGCGGCUGAGGAUGGGCCCGCGGCCUAUCAGCUUGUUGGUGGGGUGAUGGCCUACCAAGGCGACGACGGGUAGCCGGCCU
rnacentral:rRNA from 1 species